UACGUAGGGUGCAAGCGUUGUCCGGAAUUAUUGGGCGUAAAGAGUGUGUAGGCGGUGCUCUAAGUUCGGUGUGAAAUCUCCUGCUUAACUGGGGAGGGUGCGCCGGAAACUGGAGUGCUCGAACGUGGGAGAGGAAAGCGGAAUUCCUGGUGUAGCGGUGAAAUGCGUAGAUAUCAGGAGGAACACCUGCGGUGUAGACGGCUUUCUGGACCAUUGUUGACGCUGAGACACGAAAGCGUGGGUAGCAAACAGG
rnacentral:rRNA from 1 species